UACGUAGGGUGCGAGCGUUUAAUCGGAAUUACUGGGCGUAAAGCGUGCGCAGGCGGUUUUGUAAGUCUGUCGUGAAAGCCCCGGGCUCAACCUGGGAAUUGCGAUGGAGACUGCAAGGCUUGAAUCUGGCAGAGGGGGGGUAGAAUUCCACGUGUAGCAGUGAAAUGCGUAGAGAUGUGGAGGAACACCGAUGGCGAAGGCAGCCCCCUGGGUCAAGAUUGACGCUCAUGCACGAAAGCGUGGGGAGCAAACAGG
rnacentral:rRNA from 1 species